GGAUUGUGGGAUUUGAGGUCAAACCUUUCAGUGUCAAACACCAGUACGAGGGGGAGUGGAAUGGUAAUAAAACUCGCUUGAGCACUUGUGAUCCUCAUGCAAAACACAUAGUAGUCAACUCUGACACUCCGCAAGAGGUUGAAGACAGGUUGGACAUUAUAUUCACAUAUGAUGUCGAGUUCAAGGAGAGUGAUAUAAAGUGGGCAUCUCGAUGGGAC
rnacentral:misc_RNA from 1 species